rnacentral:rRNA from 1 species
AUACGGAGGAUCCGAGCGUUAUCCGGAUUUAUUGGGUUUAAAGGGUGCGCAGGCGGCCAUUUAAGUCAGCGGUUAAAUCGUGGGGCUCAACCCCAUUCUGCCGUUGAUACUGGGUGGCUUGAUUGCGGUCGAGGUUGGCGGAAUUCGUUGUGUAGCGGUGAAAUGCAUAGAUAUGACGAAGAACACCGAUUGCGUAGGCAGCUGACCAGAUCGCAAAUGACGCUCAUGCACGAAAGUGCGGGGAUCGAACAGGAUUAGAUACCCUGGUAGUCCGCACAGUAAACGAUGAAUACUUGGUUUCGGCGAUAUAAUGUCGGAGGCAAAGCGAAAGCGAUAAGUAUUCCACCUGGGGAGUACGCCGGCAACGGUGAAACUCAAAGGAAUUGACGGGG